GAAGCUGGCGGCAGGCCUAACACAUGCAAGUCGAGCGGUAGAGAGAAGCUUGCUUCUCUUGAGAGCGGCGGACGGGUGAGUAAUGCCUAGGAAUCUGCCUGGUAGUGGGGGAUAACGUUCGGAAAACGGACGCUAAUACCGCAUACGUCCUACGGGAGAAAGCAGGGGACCUUCGGGCCUUGCGCUAUCAGAUGAGCCUAGGUCGGAUUAGCUAGUUGGUGAGGUAAUGGCUCACCAAGGCGACGAUCCGUAACUGGUCUGAGAGGAUGAUCAGUCACACUGGAACUGAGACACGGUCCAGACUCCUACGGGAGGCAGCAGUGGGGAAUAUUGGACAAUGGGCGAAAGCCUGAUCCAGCCAUGCCGCGUGUGUGAAGAAGGUCUUCGGAUUGUAAAGCACUUUAAGUUGGGAGGAAGGGUUGUAGAUUAAUACUCUGCAAUUUUGACGUUACCGACAGAAUAAGCACCGGCUAACUCUGUGCCAGCAGCCGCGGUAAUACAGAGGGUGCAAGCGUUAAUCGGAAUUACUGGGCGUAAAGCGCGCGUAGGUGGUUUGUUAAGUUGGAUGUGAAAUCCCCGGGCUCAACCUGGGAACUGCAUUCAAAACUGACUGACUAGAGUAUGGUAGAGGGUGGGUGGAAUUUCCUGUGUAGCGGUGAAAUGCGUAGAUAUAGGAAGGAACACCAGUGGCGAAGGCGACCACCUGGACUAAUACUGACACUGAGGUGCGAAAGCGUGGGGAGCAAACAGGAUUAGAUACCCUGGUAGUCCACGCCGUAAACGAUGUCAACUAGCCCUUGGAAGCCUUGAGCUUUUAGUGGCGCAGCUAACGCAUUAAGUUGACCGCCUGGGGAGUACGGCCGCAAGGUUAAACUCAG
rnacentral:rRNA from 1 species